AAGCACAACAAUGAUGGGCAGUACGUGUGGGAGUCCCAGGCCGGUAGCUCCUUCACCGUCACUCAUGAUACGUUUGGGGAGCAGCUCGGCAGGGGUACCAAGAUGGUCCUCUACCUCAAGGACGACUAGGUUAUUUGCAUCUUGAUUAGGAGAUGAUGGUGAUCAUCUUUUGUUGCGGGGAACCUGUUAGAUAAAGUUUAUGUGAUUUGAACCUGCAAGAUACAGUUCUGUAUAAUGUUGUGUGAGAUAAAAGUUAUGUACUUGUGAACAUAGGAGAUAAGUUAUUGAUAUGUGUUGGUCUGUCUAAUGUUAUGUGAGACAAAGUUGUGUGAGAAAGUUUUCUAUACUUGUGUUAUUACUGUGGGAAAGAAGUACUGUUACUAUACUGAUUUGAGAAUAUUGGCUGUAAAUAAAAGAGGGCUUGGCCAACUAUUGGAUUGUAAAA